rnacentral:ncRNA from 1 species
UAGGUUAUUGAACGGAAGUUGAAUCGAAGAAGGAACCCGGUGGGAGUCCGGGGCUUUGCCAGAAGCUGUAAUUCGUGUGGAAAGCACCUGUAGCCACUGCCGUAGGCGGGAAGGAAGGUGUGGGAGCGAAGAGCCAGAAGACUUGGCCUAUG